rnacentral:rRNA from 1 species
AUUGAACGCUGGCGGCAUGCCUUACACAUGCAAGUCGAACGGUAACAGGUCUUCGGAUGCUGACGAGUGGCGAACGGGUGAGUAAUACAUCGGAACGUGCCUAGUAGUGGGGGAUAACUACUCGAAAGAGUGGCUAAUACCGCAUGAGAUCUACGGAUGAAAGCAGGGGAUCGCAAGACCUUGUGCUACUAGAGCGGCCGAUGGCAGAUUAGGUAGUUGGUGGGAUAAAAGCUUACCAAGCCGACGAUGUGUAUCUGGUCUGAGAGGACGAUCAGCCACACUGGGACUGAGACACGGCCCAGACUCCUACGGGAGGCAGCAGUGGGGAAUUUUGGACAAUGGGCGAAAGCCUGAUCCAGCAAUGCCGCGUGCAGGAUGAAGGCCUUCGGGUUGUAAACUGCUUUUGUACGGAACGAAAAGCCCCGGGUUAAUACCCUGGGGUCAUGACGGUACCGUAAGAAUAAGCACCGGCUAACUACGUGCCAGCAGCCGCCGCCG